rnacentral:rRNA from 1 species
GACGAACGCUGGCGGCGUGCUUAACACAUGCAAGUCGAGCGGUAAGGCCCUUUCGGGGGUACACGAGCGGCGAACGGGUGAGUAACACGUGGGUGACCUGCCCUCAGCUCUGGGAUAAGCCCGGGAAACCGGGUCUAAUACUGGAUAUGACUCCAUGACGCAUGUUGUGGGGUGAAAGCCUUGUGCGGCUGAGGAUGGGCCCGCGGCCUAUCAGCUUGUUGGUGGGGUGAUGGCCUACCAAGGCGACGACGGGUAGCCGGCCUGAGAGGGCGACCGGCCACACUGGGGACUGAGACACGGCCCAGACUCCUACGGGAGGCAGCAGUGGGGAAUCUUGCGCAAUGGGCGAAAGCCUGACGCAGCGACGCCGCGUGAGGGAUGACGGCCU